UACAGAGGUGGCAAGCGUUGUUCGGAAUUACUGGGCGUAAAGGGCGCGUAGGCGGCCUACUAAGUCAGACGUGAAAUCCCCCGGCUUAACCGGGGAACUGCGUCUGAUACUGGAUGGCUUGAGUGUGGGAGAGGGAUGCGGAAUUCCAGGUGUAGCGGUGAAAUGCGUAGAUAUCUGGAGGAACACCGGUGGCGAAGGCGGCAUCCUGGACUACUACUGACGCUGAGUGAGCGAAAGCCAGGGGAGCAAACGGG
rnacentral:rRNA from 1 species